CCUACGGGAGGCAGCAGUGGGGAAUAUUGGACAAUGGGGGGAACCCUGAUCCAGCCAUGCCGCGUGUGUGAAGAAGGCCCUCGGGUUGUAAAGCACUUUCAGUGAGGAAGAACGCCUGGUGGUUAAUACCCAUCAGGAAAGACAUCACUCACAGAAGAAGCACCGGCUAACUCCGUGCCAGCAGCCGCGGUAAUACGGAGGGUGCGAGCGUUAAUCGGAAUUACUGGGCGUAAAGCGCGCGUAGGUGGCUUGAUAAGCCGGUUGUGAAAGCCCCGGGCUCAACCUGGGAACGGCAUCCGGAACUGUCAAGCUAGAGUGCAGGAGAGGAAGGUAGAAUUCCCGGUGUAGCGGUGAAAGGCGUAGAGAUCGGGAGGAAUACCAGUGGCGAAGGCGGCCUUCUGGACUGACACUGACACUGAGGUGCGAAAGCGUGGGUAGCAAACAGGAUUAGAUACCCGGGUAGUC
rnacentral:rRNA from 1 species